CCUACGGGAGGCAGCAGUGGGGAAUAUUGGACAAUGGGGGGAACCCUGAUCCAGCGACGCCGCGUGAGUGAAGAAGGAUUUCGGGAUGUAAAGCUCGAGCAGCAGGGAAGAAAGAAAGGACGGUACCUGACUAAGAAGCCUCGGCUAACUACGUGCCAGCAGCCGCGGUACUACGUAGGGGGCAAGCUUUAUCCGGAUUUACGGGGUGAAAAGGGAGCGGAGACGGCGAUGCAAGUCUGAAGUGAAAGGCGGGGGCCCACCCCCGGACUGCUUUGGAAACUGUAUGGCUUGAGUGCAGGAGAGGUAAGUGGAAUUCCUAGUGUCGCUGUGAAAUGCGUAGAUAUUAGGAGGAACACCAGUGGCGAAGGCGGCUUACUGGACUGUAACUGACGUUGAGGCUCGAAAGCGUGGGGAGCAAACAGGAUUAGAUACCCCUGUAGUC
rnacentral:rRNA from 1 species